CCUACGGGUGGCAGCAGUGGGGAAUAUUGGACAAUGGGCGGAACCCUGAUCCAGCGACGCCGCGUGAGUGAAGAAGGAUUUCGGUAUGUAAAACUCUAUCAGCAGGGAAGAAAAUGACGGUACCUGACUAGGAAUCCACGGCUAACUACGUUCCAGCAGCCGCGGUACUACGUAGGGGGCAAGCGUUAUCCGGAUUUACUGGGUGUAAAGGGAGCGUAGACGGUUCAGCAAGUCUGAUGUGAAAGGUCGGGGCCCAACCCUGGGACUGCAGUGGAAACUGGUGAACUUGAGUACAUGAGAGGCAAGCGGAAUGCGUGGUGUAGCGGUGAAAUGCGUAGAUAUCAGGAGGAACACCAGUGGCGAAGGCGGUUUACUGGACCGUAACUGACGCUGAGGCUCGAAAGCGUGGGGAGCAAACAGGAUUAGAUACCCGAGUAGUC
rnacentral:rRNA from 1 species